UAACGCAUCUUUCUGUUCAUGUGUUCAUUUUUUACAUUUGAUGUGUUUCAUACAAUUUAAAUCACAUUUGUGUCUUUAGUGUCUGAAACUGAGGAACUGACUUACACUGAUGUGAAAAUUUCAGCUCACAGUGAAGAGAGAGUUAAAGAGGAAGAAAACUCGAGAAUAACGCCUGUUGAAGCAGAGCCUGACUCAGUGGUGUAUUCACAUGUGAAGUGAUCCAUAUAAUUCAUCACAUCACAAUAUCCUUUUAAUUAUUUUCACGAGUUGUGCUGAGGAAUCCUGUAGGGUUGGGGCAUGUCUUCAGGCAUCAGUGUUUAAUAGUCUAUUAGUGUAAUAUUUGCAUGCUGUCAUUAUAUAAUCAUGACCAGCUAAAAACCAAGUGUCAGAAAGGCAAGCUCAUCAGAAAAUGUUUCAGGGUAUUUAUAACCGGAAGAGACCGAAGCUGCAGAGAGCUUGUAUUAUCAGUCAGAGAGAAUGCAGUGUUUGCAGUUUCUCCUGCAAUAAAAAUGGAAACAUGUAAA